GCUGAUAUGGCUCAGUUGGUAGAGCAAUUGAUUCGUAAUCAAUAGGUCGGCGGUUCAAAUCCGCCUAUCAGCUCCA
rnacentral:tRNA from 3 species